UACGGGGGGGGCAAGCGUUGUUCGGAAUUACUGGGCGUAAAGGGCGCGUAGGCGGUCUGCUAAGUUGGAUGUGAAAACUCUGGGCUUAACCCAGAGCCUGCAUUCAAUACUGACAGGCUAGAGUUCUGGAGGGGAUAGCGGAAUUCCUGGUGUAGCGGUGAAAUGCGUAGAUAUCAGGAGGAACACCAGUGGCGAAGGCGGCUCACUGGCCCGAUACUGACGCUGAGGCACGAAAGCGUGGGGAGCAAACAGG
rnacentral:rRNA from 1 species